rnacentral:rRNA from 1 species
GACGAACGCUGGCGGCGCGCCUAACACAUGCAAGUCGAACGAGCGAGAGAGAGCUUGCUUUCUCGAGCGAGUGGCGAACGGGUGAGUAACGCGUGAGGAACCUGCCUCAAAGAGGGGGACAACAGUUGGAAACGGCUGCUAAUACCGCAUAAUGUACAGAGGGGGCAUCCCUUUUGUAUCAAAGGAGAAAUCCGCUGAAAGAUGGGCUCACGUCUGAUUAGCUAGUUGGUGGGGUAAAGGCCUACCAAGGCUGCGAUCAGUAGCCGGACUGAGAGGUUGAACGGCCACAUUGGGACUGAGAUACGGCCCAG